rnacentral:rRNA from 1 species
GACGAACGCUGGCGGCGUGGAUUAGGCAUGCAAGUCGAACGGUAUCAUCCUUUCGGGGGUGAGAGAGUGGCGAACUGGUGAGUAACACGUAGGUUAUCUACCCUCAAGACGGGGACAACCCAGGGAAACUUGGGCUAAUACCGGAUGUGAGCAACUUUUAGUUGUUUGAAAGGUGGCGUAAGCUGUCGCUUGGGGAUGAGCCUGCGUCCUAUUAGUUAGUUGGUGAGGUAACGGCUCACCUAGGCAAUGAUAGGUAGGCGGCCUUAACGGGUGGUCGCCCACACUGGGAUUGAGAUACGGCCCAGACUCCUACGGGAGGCAGCAGUCGAGAAUAGUCUACAAUGGUCGGAAUACUGAUAGUGCGACGCCGCGUGAACGAUGAAUCCCUUCGGGGUGUAAAGUUCUUUUAUAUGUGAGCAGUGCUUCUUAUAUUAACAGUAUGGGGAAGAGAUAUUAGCAUAUGAAUAAGCAACGGCUAACUCCGUGCCAGCAGCCGCGGUAAUA